CUUCCUCCCUGGGUUGGGAUCAGUUGUAUUACUCGGACGUCUCUGAACAGUAUUGCACUUGUCCCGGCCUGUGGAGGGUGA
rnacentral:pre_miRNA from 1 species